GCUUUUGUGAUUCAGUAGUGAGAAUGUUCAUCCUGCCACGCGAAAGACUCGGGUUCGACUCUCCGCCAGUGCA